rnacentral:rRNA from 1 species
AGUGAACGCUGGCGGUAGGCCUAACACAUGCAAGUCGAACGGCAGCUCAGUAAGAGCUUGCUCUCACGUGUGGCGCGUGGCGGACGGUUGCGGUAUGCAUCGGAAUCUACUUUUUCGGGGGGGCUAACGUAGGGUAACUUACGCUAAUACAGCAUUUGACGUCCGGGUGAAAGCCGGGGAUCUUCUGGCCUUUCGCGAUGGAAUAAGCCGAUGUCGGUUUAGCUAGUUGGCGGGGUAAUGGCCCACCAAGGCCACGAGCCGUAUCUGAUCUGAGGGGGUGAUCCGCCACCCUGGAACUGAGACACGGCCCAGACUCCUACGGGAGGCCGCGGUGGGGAAUCUUGGGCAAGGGGGGCAAGCCGGAUCCAGCCCUACCGCGGGGGUGAAGAAGGCCUUCGGGUGGUAAAGCCCUUUUGUUGGGAAAGAAAAGCAGCAGGUUAAUACCGCGCUAUUCUGACGGUACCCAAAGAAUAAGCACCGGCUAACUUCGUG